rnacentral:rRNA from 1 species
AUUGAACGCUGGCGGCAGGCCUAACACAUGCCAGUCGAGCGGAUGAAGGGAGCUUGCUCCUGGAUUCAGCGGCGGACGGGUGAGUAAUGCCUAGGAAUCUGCCUGGUAGUGGGGGAUAACGUCCGGAAACGGGCGCUAAUACCGCAUACGUCCUGAGGGAGAAAGUGGGGGAUCUUCGGACCUCACGCUAUCAGAUGAGCCUAGGUCGGAUUAGCUAGUUGGUGGGGUAAAGGCCUACCAAGGCGACGAUCCGUAACUGGUCUGAGAGGAUGAUCAGUCACACUGGAACUGAGACACGGUCCAGACUCCUACGGGAGGCAGCAGUGGGGAAUAUUGGACGAUAGGCGAAAGCCUGAUCCAGCCAUGCCGCGUGUGUGAAGAAGGUCUUCGGAUUGUAAAGCACUUUAAGUUGGGAGGAAGGGCAGUAAGUUAAUACCUUGCUGUUUUGACGUUACCAACAGAAUAAGCACCGGCUAACUUCGUG